UGGACAUUGGGGAGGGUAUGUGCUAUGGUGAAUGCUGUGAAGUGUAUAAACCUGGCAUUUCACAGACCUGUACCCCUGGGGCUAAUAAUACAUUAUAUGUUAAUUAAAAAAAAAUUAAAAGAAGCUAUUUCAGGUGAAACUGAAGAUAUAAAUGGAUUAAGGCUCCACAAGAGUGGAUUAUGUGAUUACCAAAAAAAAAAGGUCAACAUUAAAAAGAAGAUCCCUGUUUACCCUUAGAUAGGAGAGAUAAACUGUUUAAAAAUAAGAAUCUAUUAGUGAGAGCUCAAGUAAAAUUCGAUAAUAUGAAUUAAUCUACUCAUAAAUGCCACAACACUUUCGAUUAUAGUGACUUCAUAGCUAAAGAAAAAUGCUGAUGGAAACUGUUUGGGGCACCUGGGUGGCUCAGUAGUUUAAGUGUCCGACUCUUGAUUUUGGCUCAGGUCAUGCUCUCAAGGAUCAUGAAAUCAAGCCCUGCAUCAGGCUUCAUGCUGGCCAUGGAGCCUGCUUAAUUUAUUCUCUCUCUCUCUCUCUCUCUCUCCCCCUGCGCGGGAAAAAAAAUGUUUAAAAUCUCCCAGUAACUUCAUGAUUCACAAUCAAACAUUGUCAGAGUUAGAUCUGCAUGUUCCUUUUGGAGGUAGAGGAUUCCUGCAAGUGCCAAAAGCUGGUCAUGCCUGGGUAAUUAUGACUUACCCUGCUGAAAAACUAACUAUCUCUGGUUAGUGCUGAUUUGGGGUAAAUGGGAGAGUAAUUGCAGGGUUAAGACCAUUUUUUAAAUGGGCAAAUACUGUAUUUUUAGCACAUUUUGCUUUGCUCUCCACCUGAGAAACUCUUUUCUUUAGUGACAUUUUACUGGAAUCUUGACCAGUUUCAUGUAUUCUGUCUGUAAAGUAGAUGUCACAUAAAACAACAAGCUUGUCAUUGUGAAGGAUUUGGAUUUGGAAUCUGAGAUCACUGCAGAAGUAAGUAACAGCACAGUGUUACUAGAUUGGCACUCUCUGUAGGACCGAAGGUAGGGUAAAUAAUCGGUGUCUAACUUGCAGCACACAGUGGGGGGCUAUUGGAUAGCCCAUUAAGUCCAUGAAGGUAAAUUCAGAACUUGUAACCUGCCCCUCAUGUAUAGGAUUAGGAGUGAAAGUGUCCUGUGUAGGCCACAGUGUGGUGUGUAGAUUAAAGAAUGGUUAGAAGAAGCAAGUGGUGGCCAAGUUUGAGAAGCACAGUCCCCCAAGUGUAUUGACAGUUAAUUUCAGGGGUGAAAGCUGAGUGAAUGUCUCUGUGGUCUUGGCCCCAAACGAGUCCUCACACUCACCAGGUGGCUGGUGAGAUCUGACUCUAGAAUGUAAAUCUCUUUCCAUUUUGAGAAAUCAAUGCAUAAAGUUUAAAAUGCUGAAAUAGCAAAGCAUCCUUGAAAAACAUUUUAGUUGUAGAAUAAUUACUUGUGUUACAAAAAUUACAUACUAUAGAAGUUAUAAAGUGGGAAGUAAAAAGUCCUUCCUCCCCGGUUCUCAUGUUUUAACAGUUGCUUGGGUAGCUUUUCACAGAUUUCAUUUCUUCCUUUCUUCUUUCUUUCUUUUUUUAAAGAUUUAUUUGAGGGAGGGAGAGAGAGAAAGAGAGUGUGUAUGUGUAUGCUGGUUGGGGGGGGCAGAGAGGGAAAGAGAGAGAGAAUCCUUAAGCAGACUCUCUGGGGAAUGUGGAGCCCGACACCGGGCUCCAUCCCAGGACCCUGAGAUCAUGACCUGAGCUGAAAUAAAGAGUGGGCCGGUUGGCUGUUUAACCAACUGAGCUUCCCAGGCACCCCUCAUUUCUUCCUUCCACGCCCCUCAUUUCUUCCUUUCUUUCUCACCUGUCUUGGCAUUCCUUUAAAAAAAAAAAAAAAAAGCCUAUUUUUGAAAAAAAAUACUGUUUUGGAAAGAAUGACAUAUGUCUAUUCAAACAUGUCAUUUAUGCAUUUAAUAGUAUAUCUAGGACACCUUUCUAUAGUUGCAUGAGAUAUAAUAUCUUCUUGAGCCAGCUUCCUUUUGGACUUGAGGACACUGGACAGACAUUGCAAUUGUUUUCCAGAUUUUUUUCUUUCAUUUUUUUGUAAAUGAAUAAUCUAUCUAUACAGAUACUUUUAUUCACCUGUGAAAAGCAAUCUGAAGGAUCUAGCCCUAGAAGUCAAAUUUCUGGGUCAAAGCAUGUGGGUUUUUAAAUUUAGUAGAUACUGUCAUUCUUCAAAACUUUAAUACCAGUUUAUACCUCUCCCAGUGGUAUAUUUGAGUGCCCUAUUUCCCACUUGAAUUUAAUCAUUACCCAUUGUUAGCAUCUCAUUUUGAUUUGCAUUUCGUACAUUUUGAACGAGUUUAAAGAUACUUUUAUAUAUUUUCAAGUUAUUUUUACUUCCCAGUGAAUUGUCUGUAAUCAUCACCCGUUUUCCAGUGGCUAUCUUUUUCUUAGCAGUUUAUAAAAAUUCUGUGCAUAUUAAAUUUUUACUGCAGAUAUUUUCCCCAGCUUAUGUUUAUUUUUUGCUUAUACUUGUUUUUUUGUUUGAUUUGGUUUUUGCUUUUCUAAAAAACAAUUGUAGUUUUGUUUUGUUUGGGUUGUUUGUUUUUUGGCUACUAGGUUUUAUGUCAUGAUUGAAGGCCUUCCUAUACUUAAAAAUUAAUUUAAAAAUUUUAUUCAUAUUUUCUUUAAGUAAUUUUAUAGUUUCAUAUUUAAACUUUAAAUGUGGUAUAUCUGGAAUUUGUUUUGGCUUAACGAAUGAACGUAGAGAGCCAGCCUUAAGUUUUCCAAAUGGCUAGCUGUAGUCUAAACACCACUUUUUGAGCAUUCUCUUCUUCCCAUAGAUUCCUCAAAUUUGAGAUUUGAGGUUUUCUGACUGAUAAAUAUUUUGUGUUUACAGUACCAUUUAGGUAAAACAGUAUGGAAUUAUAUUGGAAAAAUUGUGCAUGUAAUAUUUAUUAUAGAAUUUCCAUGUAAAUUAAUGCUGCUCCUACAGCUAAACACUACAAGGAAGAAACAGCUAUGAUCAGAGGAAAAAAAGCAUGCAUACGGUUUUUGCUUAGAUUAGAAGAUGAGAUGUGUAUGUGUCAGAAGGGAGAUCUUAGAAUGUGUAAAGUACUAGAAUCAAAAAGUAAACUUCUAAGAAGAGACCAUAAUAAUCAGGUUGCAGGUUCACUCCUGGUAUAUCAUGUAACCCUUUUUGUUAAAAAACAAAAACAGUCUAAACUAAGGAAAUUAUUUGAAUCAGAAUGUAUUUCACAUUGGAUAUUCUUAAAAUAAUAGACAUUUUUAUAGAAAUUCGGUUCUGUGAUUUGUUGACAGUUGUAACUAACUUACUGGAAUUCAUUGAUCUUAUUAAAGGAGAGACCACUAUGACAUUCCUGAUGUGACAAGUGGAGUUUUAUGCUCUAAGCGAAAGACAUGAGGCCUAAGACUGAGAUGAGGUUGUUUUGAGGCCAUCUGAUUUCUGACUAGAAGGUGUGCGAUCGCCUCGUCCUGAAACCACUUCAAACAGAAUGAUGUAAAGUUCUAUGAAGAAUGUUAGUAGUGUCGUUAACUCUGCUUUAAUUAUCGCAGGUUUGCAAUUUUUUUUGGUGAUGGCAUGUUCAGAAUCUUGGAUCCCUAAGUUGAAUAUGUUGGAAAUAUUUAGGAACUCUGGAAAUUAUUGUUUUAUGUAUAUAAUGACUUACUAGGUGAAUCAGUAGAUUUAAUAAAAAAGAAUAUAAAAAAGAAUAGGUAUUCUAAUUUUGUGUUUCUAAGUUGACAUUCAUGCCUCAGAUUCUCAUCUUUCAGUAUUAGUGUCAUUCCCUGGAGACAGUUACAUUUUGAAUAUUUGGGGGUUUUUAUGGACCCCAUGUUUUCCCAGUUUAUGUAAUCCGCCCAUGCUGAUUUGGUCAGCUCCUUUUCCUUUCUAUCUACCUUGCCAUGUAGCUUACUUAGAUCAGAGGUAAUUAUUGAUCAGGAAGCGAUCAAGUGACAAUCCUAGAGGUAGUAAUUACAGAAUUUCAGCCUGGAAAUGACCUCGGAAUAGUUUGUUAUACCCAAAUACACUUGUGACCAGAUGCUGCUGAUUUCCAAAUUGGAUAUUAUUAUGUAGGACAGAAGUGCUAAUGGAGAGGAGAAAGGCUUUUCUGUUUCCCCUCCUCCCUCUCUUGCUGUUGUUGGGUGCCUAAAUUAGUGGAAAGUAAGAUGGCUAAGAGAUAGACAGUAUAAAUGGAAAGGAGAAAAAACAAAACUUGCAUCUCCAAGAAGGAAUAUUUCCCCUUAAAAAUUUGAAAGUUAGCUCUAUUCCAAGUACCUGAACACACUAUUUUAAAACCAUAGGCUCACUUUCAUGUAGACCCAGAAUGUGAACUAGCGUAUGCUUGCCCAGAGGAUAGCUGGAGAACUUGUUAUUUGAUAGGAGAGUCAGAUAGUCCUUAGGUGAGUCUGUUGUUGACUGCUCAGAUGAAGAGAUUUGAAGAACAUCAUGGAGCAGUUAUUUUCAUAGUCAAAUACAACAGCCUCCCUAUCCCUUUGACCAAAACCGGGGAAGGCUUGCUUUUUAAGAAUGUGUUUAGAACAGCUUGAAAAAGGAUCAUAGGGAAAGGCUGAAGAGAAUUCACGAAGCUAUAGAGACUGAGUGGUAGCAAGUUUUAUCAUUGGUAGAUUAUCCAAAAAUGUGGAAGUUUUUGUAUGAUCAGAGUUUUCAUACUGUUUCUAUUAGAAGGCUUCUAGAAGCUAAAUAAGAUACACUGUAGCACCCUCCACCCCUUUGCUUUGCUUUAAGAUUUGACUGAUAUAUAUAUAAUAGAUGGCACAAUGAAAACAUUAGAUUUUUAAAAAUCGAGUUACAUUUUAAUUUAAAUGUGUAUUGCCUAUUUGCUACUUUCCCAUUACAGCUAGCUUUUAAAAUACUCUCCUUCUGUGAUACUUUUGUCAAUAGAGGUGUUUCCUCUUAGCCAAUUCUAGCCACAGUAUUGACUAGGCCUCUGCAUUUGAUAUACCCAGAAGGAAUUAGACAGGCAGGGAAAAACUUGGUCUCUACUGGAAUGAAUAUUUUAAAAACCUUUUUAGAUUCUGAACACUUGGAGUACAAAGGAAAGAGACCCAAGAAAGGGAAAAAUGUAAGAGCCCAAGAAAAAAAAACGGUGGUGGGAGUGGGGAAUAAACUCUCACACAGCUGACCUAAGUGCAUUAAGGGAAGGAAGUGAAGUUCCUGGAGAAGAGGAGGCAGUAUAUGAAAUCCUGGGACAGCAGGCAUUCUGAUAUUCAGUUGAGCAGUUCAUACUAGCAAGUGGUAGUAUUUUAAGGCUAGUGACAGGUGAUCUGGGGAAAUAUUAAUGUACUUCCUAACAAUGAGUUUGAUUUUUAUUUUAGUGGGUUAUAAAUGGGUAUGCAGCUCAAAGAUGAACAUAAUUCAAGAUAAGUAUCUUCAGUCUUAGAGAAAAUAUAAUAAAAAAUGGAUCUUUUGUCCUAUUGUAUAACUUUAGAAAGUAAUGUAGAAUACGGAGCAUAAUAGAGAAUUAAUGGCAUGAAUAUAAUCAGUAUUUGAUGGUUGCUUUCUAGAAACUUCUAGGUAAAACCUGUUGUCCUUAGUUGUACUGUAACAGAAUUUUAGUGGAGAAAUGUAUACCUUCUUGGGUCACUGUGCUCCACAGUCUGGCACAUCAUUGUGAAAGUUUGGAAAUCUAAUUCUGUUUACCCCUGGGGAGGAACAUAGAUCUUCCUAAGUUUGGGUACAGAAAGUACGUAGGGAACCACAGAGAAGGUGACCCUAGAACCUAGUGGUUCUUUGUAUUUUGGUACUUUUCAACCCCCUUUUGAAAAUCCAAAGGUAACUAUGGAUGCUUUCUCCAACAAGACUGCAAUUUCUGAGGGUAGAGAGACUGCCCUUGAUUGUCAGGUCAGGAAGAGGUCAGGAAGCCCUGAUCUAAAAGAUCAUCUUCCUUUUUCUUCUGACCUUGCUCUCAGUUUAUUGUCACUUUCAGUCAGGGGUUCUCUGUUGCCUUUGAAGGGAGCUUCAAAUCUUGAAGGACACUCACUGCCUUACACAUUGAACUGAAGUCACAAGUCCAGAGCUUUGUAAUAUAAUGGAGUGAACAUGGUCCGCAAAGAGCUGCCCCACAAGUACAGUGGUAAAUAUAGAGCCUGAGGCACAAAGGUGUGGCACAGCCUCCGAGCUGGUACCUGCUUCCUGCUGGUAUGGGGCAUUUAUUCUAUAGGAAGUUGAAUAUUAAUGUUUUGUCUUUAAAAUGAGCAUAUUUCUUUUAAGAUCUCUAAUUAUUUUAAAGUUUUUCUACCCAAGUGUGACUUUCUCCUCAUGUAUUAGGAUGUCACGUUAAUGGUGUAAAAUGUGCACUUCAAAUUAACAUAAUAACUGGGAACUUGGGAUUCUGUUACUUUUGUGACUCUGAAAUUUAUAACACGUUUUCAGGAAAAGCGUUGAGAUUCCCAGAUAAUUCAUUCUUAACUUCUUUCAAGUUCCUGAAUGUAUGAUUGUUUCUGAACCUUAUUAAGCCAUUUAUAAGAUUAGACAAAACUGUCUUCCAUUCAUAUUUUGACACAGAAUGGAUAUAUUUAAUUUAUCUUAUUAGAAAUGUGUUUUAACAGAAAAUUCUAUUUGAGUGGCUCUAAUCUUCAUUUUGGAAUCUCAGAUCCCCUGCUUGUUAUGUUGUUCAUUGGGACUCCUCCUGCAAAAUACAGCUUCGCUGAGAAGAUCAACCUUGAAAAAUCAAGGAAUCCGAAGAAAUUAAUUUGGGGACUGAGUAAAGAGAUGGAAGAGCAUCAUCAGAUUGACAACCCAGCACACUCUGGAAACAUCUUAGACUGUGUUGCUUUUGUACAUGAAACAAUUUGACUGUGUAAAAACUGGACCUAUAUAGAGAGAAAACCACCUCAUAAAAUGUAUCUUUAAUAUAAGAAAACACACCCUGGCCUCUAAGAACAUUUCUGUCAGAACAGUCUGCUCUUGACUACUCACACUGUUGGAGGGAAGCUGGGUCACUGCACUUGACUCAAAGUUAAACAUCAUGUAUUUUGGACUUGAAGGUGUUUAUAAAUUUCCUCGUGUCAUACAGUGUUUGGGGCUUUUACAACAUCUGUCUCCCAUGUGCCCUUCAUAUCCCCUGAGAAAGGAGCCUUAGCUAUCUGUGCCCUGAUAAUUGUUUUCUGUCCAUCUUUUUUGGCACUGUUGGCUUAAAUGUGAGGAAAACAUGGAGUAUCCAGGAUUCCAACAUCCCGUUAGAUCUGUCUCACUUAUCCCUUCCAGGUAAUUGUGUUACAUUUCCUUUUCAGCUCCUCUAAAUAUGGCCCAGUUUUAGCCCCUUGGUUAGGUCAAGGUAGCAUUGAAACCAUACCAUUUCAGUCUUCUUUCUUCCCAUUGUCCUGUUUCAUUCUGGCUAUGAUGGGAGGUUGGCAGUUGCCUUACUGUAAGAGUCCACAUGUGUCCUUUCAUUUCCACCUCCCUUCCUGCAUGUCCUGGUGUAUAAAUAAAACAGAUCUAGACUUGGGGAUCUGCCUAUAUAGAUUCACAGCACUGUAUUUAAAAUACAGUCUUUUAGCUGCAAUGUUAAUGGUAGUCUCCUUUGUAUCUCUGCCCUGUGCUGGGCCCUCUGCUGGGUAGGGCAGUCCCCUCUUUCUCUGCACCACCUGAUUCUCUUGAGGCCAGGAGUAGACUUCAUGGUGCCUUAGGCACAGGGAGAACCACAACUGACCUCUAUGUAAGCUUGCUGGUUCCUGGGGUCAUAAUAAUGGGGUAAAGAGAUCCUUGUGCCCUCCACUGGACUCUAGUCAAAGCAGAUAAUGUGCAGAGAAAGUUCUCAUAUCCAUUGGAUGUUGAAAACAAGAUUUGUCAAAAAAUAGGCCAAAUUUCAGGUUAACCAUGAACCCACAUUGACUAUUCUGGUUUGUCUUACUUUAAAAAAUAAUAAUAAUAAUAAGUACCCCUUAAAAGCAUUAUCAGAUUACCAUGAUGUACAAAAUGUGAUAUUACUCAAAAAAACUUUUACAAGUAAAAUUUUUACAAGUAGCUUUCAGAAAUGUGCAAAUAUGUUUUCUGUAAAAGGGUAUAUACUGUGUGUAAUAAUUUUCUGAUUCUUGCUCUAAUAAAUAUUAAACUUAAGUGGUCUCAGUAUUUCAAACCUAAUAGUUUGAAAGUAUUUUUUGAGUAAAAUUUUUAAGUAUAUAAUAUUUUUACUUUUCAUGUAAUGUGCAAGUAUUCUUAGAAUACUUGUUUUCCACAUGUAAAACUACUGUGAACGGGAUCUGUGUCUCUCAGUAAGUUUCUGAAGCUUUGGCUGUAAUUACCACGUGCUUGGGAUUGGGCUGGCUGGAAAUGCAUAUUGAGUUUUUCUGUGUAUGUAGCAAACUUUGUCCAAAUAAAGUAGCUUUGUACCCUGAA